CCCAGACCCAAACAAAGAUCCCUCCUGGCUGACAUCACCCCGUGCAGGAGUCAGCACUUGAAAUGCCAAAGCAGGCCUGAAUUCAGGCUUAGGCUUUGUCUCCCUUCUCUGGGACCCUGGCACAGCGCUGUCCUAAGCGGUGCUGCACACACUGAAAAGGGAGACUUGGGGACCACACUCAACUAAACAAACAACAACUGUGAAAGGAUGUCUAUUAGUUCCACUGAUAACUGAAAAAUGAGUUGUUCUGGAUCCCAGCACAGACCUGCAGAAGCUCCAAAAGCUCCAGCCCCCAGUGCCGUGCCUGGAUUGGGAGGGCAGCCCCUCGUCACCCCCAAAGGAGUGAGCACAGGAAAUCUGGGCUGAACCUUCUCCAUCCCUCUCCGGGGCUUUGCUGCAAGACUGCACUUGCACUUCCUUUUCCACAAGGUUUUGGCAGUAGAUGGAAAGCAAUCAAAGUCCCAUUUGAAGCAGCCAUGUAAGCAAUUCUCAUUUACAGAAGACAAUGAAAAAUUAAUCUAAAAUGAGUGUAACUAAGUUUUCAUAGAAACAACAAAGCCACUCAGACAUUAUCAUUUUCAACAGCUGUUUACUGUCUUCAUCCACAAAAUCACCUGUCAAAUUUUACUAUUGCCUCCAGAGGGGAAAAAAGCCAACCCCAAGCGCCUCUGUGAGUUAAUAAAAUGCUCCACUUGUAACACA